ensembl:lncRNA
GAUAUAGUAUAAUUAUAUUUUGUUGUUGAAUAACUUUGUUGUUGAAUAAGGUUAUAAAGUUAGUAAGAAUAAGUUAGGUUAAGUAUUUAAGAUAUAUUUUAAGCCUGAAGGAGUAAGAAUAAAUGGGGAAAAGAUUUUGUCUGCUCCAUAGGUUCUAAAAACAGGAGAAGUCGGGAGGGCAGGCAUGUAUUCCAGUCCGUAUCUCCAGGUUAUGUUUAGUUAAUCUGUUGGGAAAAGAUGCAAUGACUCUGUUGAAUGUGGCCGUCACCCCCACAGAAAGCCCGAGGCCAUAAAAGAGAUUACUCCAACCUUUGAAGAUUUGGUAGAGGGGGGUGUAAUUAGAGAAGGAGAUGCACAGUGCAAUUCUCCAAUGUUCCCCGUAAAGAAAGCAGCCCCCAGUAAUGAUUGGAGAAUGGUAUUAGACUUACAAAGAGGGAUUCACAUGUUGUUUAAACAAUUGAAAAUAGAAAAUACCUAUUGUUCUGUCUACCAAUCUUACCAAAGACACUGUUGACAUAUGCAGCAAUAUUGACACGUGGGCAGAGCCACGAUUAUGGUAGCUAAAACAUUAGGUCCAGAUAUUAUCCCUAGAGUUGGUUUACUAGGAUCUAUUUCUUUAAACAAAGGUUGGCAUUUUAGCUAAUCAGGUAGACCAUAUAGAAUGCCAGAGUUAGGGAGACCAGAACGGACCGACAUAGAAAUUGAAGAUAUACUAGCAGAACGCAUGAGAAGACUGUUAGUAACCACACCCGUAUGUCAAAGAUUUUAUGCCCAACAGGAGAGUUGCAGAAGGAGAUAACACACAAGAUCCAACCAGGAGAAUGGGUCUGGGUCCAAUCCCUAAAGAAAAAAGACUGGAAACAGCCACGGUGGGACGGACCAUACCAACUGCUACCUAUCCAAUAUACAGCAAGAUCCUCUGGGUUGGGUUGGCACCCCCCUUGGGUUGUGCCGUGGCGGAGAUCUUUGGGCUAUACUUUGCCUUGUCUCAGGAUGAGGACACUAGGACCAUACCUCAGGACUACCUGGCAUGAUGACUCCUUACUGUCCCCAGUCCACCUGGCCGUGCUGCUGCUCCAGCUUCAACUGUUCUGCCUGCGGCUAUGGAACCCUGACCUGUUCACCGGACGUGCUACCUGUCCCAGACCUGCUGUUUUCAACUCUCUAGAGACAGCAGGAGCGGUAGAGAUACUCUCAAUGAUCGGCUGAAAAUCCAACUGACAUUUACUCCUGAGGUGCUGACUUGUUGCACCCUCGACAACUACUGUGAUUAUUAUUAUUUGACCAUGCUGGUGAUUUAUGAACAUUUGAACAUCUUGGCCAUGUUCUGUUAUAAUCUCCACCCGGCACAGCCAGAAGAGGACUGGCCACCCCUCAUAGCCUGGUUCCUCUCUAGGUUUCUUCCUAGGUUUUAGCCUUUCUAGGGAGUUUUUCCUAGCCACCGUGCUUCUACACCUGCAUUGCUUGCUGUUUGGGGUUUUAGGCUGGGUUUCUGUACAGCACUUUGAUGUAUCAGCUGAUGUAAGAAGGGCUAUAUAAAUACAUUUGAUUUGAUUUAGGCAGGCCCACAUUAUUUUAGCCAUGCAGGUCCCAUUUUGGAUGAGUGUAAAACACUCCAUAGUCUGCGUUGUCUUAAUAUUAUAUGAUGGUGCCUGUAAGUGUGACAUAGCCUAUUAAAAACAAGUAGUUGUUUUGUUUAGAAUUUGAUUAGAAUGACUUGUUCUCUUUUUAGGCCUUAUCAAUAAUGAAUUGAAUCUUGCUUAUUGACAGUGUUUGAAAUGUUCAUGCUCAUCCAUAAUGUACUUUACAGUAGGCCUAGCCCGAUAUCAGUGCGAAUGCUAUUGGAGCCAUGCAAUAACUUAGAACAAUGUGGACUGCAGAUGGGUUCAAGUGAACCUAUUUAGCAAAGACGGGAUAGGUCUACAUUUUGUUAUUUCGUUUCUGUAAGCCAUUUAACAAACUAUAACGGACUAUAUCAUUGGAAUUGGAGUUGUUUCCAAAGCAAUACAUACAAGACCGUAUAUACACCAUGGAGCACGUUCUGAUUGGCCAGUGAGGGGCUAAGCUUCGACACCCACAACUUGUUAAUUCAUCAAAACUCAGCCCUUUUGCACCAAUGCCAGAAUGUGCGCCAAUUGUGAUAGUGAAAAUAUAACAAAUAUUUCUGACACACCACUGAACCUAUAGCUCUACCGCCUGUUCUUAGAUUUAUCAUUGCGUUAAGUUUUAUUACAAUAGAGCCCUUAGGGUCAGACUGUUAAUUAUUUCAUAAAGCUGACUGCCAAUCUUUGUCAGACCUUGUGUUGGAGGAGAAAAAGUAUGAUGAGUCCCUCACUAUAUAUAUAUAUAUAUGAGUGUAUGAAACAAUAGGAACACCUUCCUAAUAUUGAGUUGCACCCCCUUUUGCACUCAGAACAGGCUCAAUUCGUUGGGGCCUGGACUCUAUACAUGAAGAUAGGAGAGGAGUCUGUUCCACUCUGCCAUCAUGACAUCCAUCCCCAUCACUUUAUUGUCCAUGUGCACCCCAGCAAGAAUGGAAUCAUGAUAUUUGCAAAAGCCCUGAAAGACAGAGAAAGAGAAAGAGAGAACCACCUCCAAUAACUACAAGGCCAGAGACUGCCCAGCCUGGAGCCCCAGGGCCAUUCCACAGCACACAAGGAGCUAAAAGCUGCAUGUAGCCCACGACACCCCUGGUCCCAGGCUACAUUCUGGGUUCUGGCCCACUGGCUGCUGAAGAUUCUGGGGGAGGUCUACUCGCCUCUGUAUGUACUAGCUCACUGGCCAUCGCGGAAGGUUCUGGAGGACCACUAGCUUUCCAAGGUUAGGGUACGUAGGGUAACCUGGGAAAGAAGUCUGGUUGCCCCCUGGGAAUGGGCCUGGCUGGCUGCAUGGGCUGCUGCAGACCUGAAAGACUGGACGUGAGUAAGGAUCGUGGAUUGGAGGGAAGAGGUCCCUGAAGCAAUAACAGUUGGUUGUAUUCAUUAAUGUCAUAUUGGGUGGAAGCUACUAAAGUUUUAAGGAAGUAUUCUUUAAUGUAAAGUACAUUUAAAUUUAUAACAAUAAUAGCCGGUGUCAAAAAAUGUAAGGAAUUGCCGUAGAUCGUACAGUCAUGUCCUCCCAAUCAAUAACAGUCAUAUGGGGUGGACGGUAUUUAAGUUUUUAGCAAGUUUUUUAAUAUAUUUUUUUACAUAUACUAAAAUUAAUUUAAAAUAGCCAAAGUAAAAACAUUUUUAAAAAGUAAUUGCCGUAGAUGGGAGGGAAGAGGUCCCUAAACCAAUAACAAUUGGUUGUUUUCAUGCAAGUGAUAUACGGUAGAAGCUAUUGCUGUAUUAAGGAAGUGUAUUUGGCAUAUUCUGAUAUUAAAUUAAUUGAAAAUAGCCAAAGUUCAAAAAUACAACUGUCAUUUCCAUAGAUUGUACAGACGAAGUCCCUGAAUCAAUAACAAUUGGUUGUAGUAUUCAUGCAAGCUAUAUGGGGUUGAAGCUAUAUAUGUUUUAAGGAAUUAUUGUUUUUAACAAAUUAAAACAUUUUAUUAAUUGGAAACAGCCAAAGUAAAAAAAAUAAAGAAGCAUUUGUAAUAUUUCUAAGUCAUGUGGUAAGAAAUCUAUUGAAGUCUUUCUGUUAGCAUUAGGUUUCAAUUGCCCUUUUAAGACGGUCCCUUAGCUGUGACUACACUUAGAAAUUUGUAUUUUAUUUUUAUUUUUUAUUUUUUUUACAUAUGAUAUUAAAUUAAUUGGAUGGGAGAGUAGAGG